UACGGAGGGGGCUAGCGUUGUUCGGAAUUACUGGGCGUAAAGAGCUUGUAGGCGGUUUGUCGCGUCUGCUGUGAAAUUUCGGGGCUCAACCCCGAACUUGCAGUGGGUACGGGCAGACUAGAGUGUGGUAGGGGAGACUGGAAUUCCUGGUGUAGCGGUGAAAUGCGCAGAUAUCAGGAGGAACACCGAUGGCGAAGGCAGGUCUCUGGGCCAUAACUGACGCUGAGAAGCGAAAGCGUGGGGAGCAAACAGG
rnacentral:rRNA from 1 species